CCAUCUUCUUGCAUACCACUCUAAGUUGUUAUAUGAUCGGUCCUUGUGGCAAAACCACAAAUCAACAGGCAGCAUGGAGCUUCCAAAUGAAGGAUCUUUUUAUCUAGCCAAGGAUAGUGAGAGUCUGAGCAGUGAGAGAGCUUUGUGUCCAGCUGGGUAAAGUGAGAGACCAGGAGGAGCUUUGUAUCCUCUCAAUGAUAUGAAGAAACCAGGAGGAGCUGUGUGUUCAGCCAGAAAGAAUAGGAGACCAGGAGGAGCUGUGUGUUCAGCCAGGAAGAAUAGUAGACCAGGAGGAGCUG